UUUUUUGCACACUUAUACCUUCCCCGUGGGUGGUUUUUGCUCUGCGGACUAACCGCAUUUACCUAUGUCCCAGCUAACACAUUAAAAAUAGACUGGCUAAGUUGCGUGACAUUGUCACUCACAUAACGCAAAAUAGUGACAAUAAUUGGUGGGGUUCUUGGGGUUUUGGUAAUUGGUUUGGGUGGCUUAAAAGCAUUUUUACCUCCCUGCUAGUGGUAAUAGCAAUUGGUUUGCUCUUCUGCUGUGGUCUGCAGAUAGGAGUGCCUUGUUGUAAAAUCUGUCUUUCUGCCCUCCGUCAGCCAACAGAAAUGUACCCCCUUAGGGCAGUCUCGCUGCCAACAUCAGGUGGCUUGCCCUUUGAUCUUAUUCUAAGUAAUGAAUAUGAGAAAACUCAACGAAAGGCCUUUGAGUAUUCUCAAAGGGGGGAUUGUUGGGGGGUGCAGUGCUCCAGGUAACUGGCAAUAUGGCGUGGGGUCAGAAGUUUACAUUCUCAGGCCUACGACUGCCUUUCGAGCUAAACAAUAUGUUCCUUUAAAGUUAGCAUGAGUACAUGUAAUCAUUUAUCAUUUUCUUGUGUUCUUUUGUUUAUGGUACAAGAUGUAAUCGAUCAAAGGGGGGGGGGUCAGUAGUAUGGGUUAAGGAUAUAGUUAAUUAAAAGAUCCGGUAGUUAAUGAAUUGUAAAUGAUGAAUUGUAGCACCUGUGAACAUCUUUGUAAACAAGUAAGGUAUAUAAGACAUGGCAACGGAUAGUGAUGUGUGCAUGAUCUGAGAUUUUAUAUCUCCUUGCACCUUAUUUGACUCAAAUAAAGAUACUUGCUUCUCCA